ACGAACGCUGGCGGCGUGCCUAAAACAUGCAAGUCGAACGAGGCCUUCGGGUCUAGUGGCGAACGGUGGAGUAAUACAUGAACAACGUGCCCCUAAGUUUGGGACAAACGCAGAAAUGUUAUAAAUACCAGAUGUGGCCGGAGAAGGACAUCCUUUUCCGAUUAAAGGUUUUUCGCUUAGGGAGCGGUUCAUGGCCUAUCAGCUUGUUGGUGAGGUAACGGCUCACCAAGGCAACGACGGGUAGGGGGUCUAAGAGGAUGAUCCCCCCGAGUGGGACUGAGACACGGCCCACACACCUACGGGUGGCAGCAGUUGGGAAUCUUGCACAAUGGGGGAAACCCUGAUGCAGCGACGCCGCGUGGAGGAUGAAGGAUCUAGGUCUGUAAACUCCUUUUUCAUGGAAAGACUUAGGACGGUACCAUGAGAAUAAGGACCGGCUAACUACGUGCCAGCAGCCGCGGUAAGACGUAGGGUCCAAGCGUUGUCCGGAUUUACUGGGCGUAAAGGGCGCGUAGGCGGCCUGUUAAGUGUGAAGUGAAAUCUCCAGAGCUCAACUCGGAAACGGCUUUACAUACUGGCAGGCUAGAGGAAUGCAGAGGUGAGUAGAAUUCCUGGUGUAACGGUGAAAUGUGUAGAUAUCAGGAGGAAUACCCAUGGCGAAGGCAGCUCACUGGGCAUUAUCUGACGCUGAGGCGCGAAAGCGUGGGGAGCAAACAGGAUUAGAUACCCUGGUAGUCCACGCCCUAAACGAUGGAUACUAGGCGUAAGAGGUAUCGACCCCUCUUGUGCCGCAGCUAACGCAUUAAGUAUCCCGCCUGGGGAGUACGGCCGCAAGGUUGAAACUCAAAUGAAUUGACGGGACCCCGCACAAGCGGUGGAGCAUGUGGAU
rnacentral:rRNA from 1 species